GCUUGCUCUGUGGCUUUGCCCCAACCAGCUGUGCGACCUUGGGGAAGUCACUUAAGCUCUCUGGAUUUCCCCAUCUAUAAAAAGUGGCAGAAAUUCAGACCACUUCUCAGAGACUUCCAGGAACUUGGAGAAACACAGCUUCCCCGAGGGAGAGCCAAGAGCCCAGUGACAUUUCCUGUCAAAUGUCCAAGGCGAACUCCAGGUCCAGAGUGUCAGCCCUGGUAUGUGGCACUGCGAUCAGCCGUUGGAAGGAUUAUCUGCCACUUGUUUCCAGUGCUUUCCCAGUAGCCUUCUGAAAGCCAGCGGGGGUUCCGCCUGGUCAGAAAAGACCUCUUUCA
rnacentral:lncRNA from 1 species